UAAUGGGUUUUGUCUUUUUUUGUCGUUGGGUUUAUUUUUCAUUAUUGAAAACAACACAAAAAAAAAAAAAAAACAC
rnacentral:ribozyme from 14 species